AACGUAGGAGACAAACGUUAUCCGGAAUUACUGGGCGUAAAGCGCGCGUAGGUGGUUUGUUAAGUUGGAUGUGAAAUCCCCCGGGCUCAACCUGGGAACUGCAUCCAAAACUGGCAAGCUAGAGUAUGGUAGAGGGUGGUGGAAUUUCCUGUGUAGCGGUGAAAUGCGUAGAUAUAGGAAGGAACACCAGUGGCGAAGGCGACCACCUGGACUGAUACUGACACUGAGGUGCGAAAGCGUGGGGAGCAAACAGG
rnacentral:rRNA from 1 species